CACGUAGGGCGCAAGCGUUGUCCGGAAUUAUUGGGCGUAAAGAGCUCGUAGGCGGUCUGUUGCGUCAGGAGUGAAAACUCGGGGCUUAACCCCGAGCCUGCUUCUGAUACGGGCAGACUAGAGGUAUGCAGGGGAGAACGGAAUUCCUGGUGUAGCGGUGAAAUGCGCAGAUAUCAGGAGGAACACCGGUGGCGAAGGCGGUUCUCUGGGCAUUACCUGACGCUGAGGAGCGAAAGUGUGGGGAGCGAACAGG
rnacentral:rRNA from 1 species